GGGCCCGUAGUCUAGUGGCAAAACACGUCUAUGGCAUAGAUGAGCUGAGGGUUCGAUUCCCUCCGGGUCCA
rnacentral:tRNA from 1 species